UAAUAGCUCACCGGUCGAGUGAUCCCGCGCCGAUGUUCUCCGGGGCUUAAACUUACUACCGAAGCUACGGCAUCAGUAAUGAUGCGGAGGGGAGCUUCCCAUAGGCUUCGAUGCAUGAUCGUAAGGACCUGUGGACAGUAUGGGAGUGAGAAUGUUGGCAUGAGUAGCGCGCUGUGGGUGAGAAUCCCACAGGCCGUAAACCCACGGUUUCCAGGGGAAGGUUCGUCCGCCCUGGGUUAGUCGGGACCUAAGCUGAGGCCGACAGGCGGGGGUGAUGGACAACAGGUAGAUAUUCCUGUACUACAGAUAACGAUAUGAGAGAAGGGAUGAUACAGUAGGCUAAGCUACGCACACUGUUGGUUAUGUGGGCCAAAGCAUUGAGGCAGUCAAAGUAGGCAAAGCCGCUUUGAUAAUGCUGGGAGGUGAUGGGGGGGG
rnacentral:rRNA from 1 species